UACAGGGGGGGCAAGCGUUGUUCGGAAUUACUGGGCGUAAAGGGCUCGUAGGCGGCCAACUAAGUCACACGUGAAAUCCCCAGGCUUAACCUGGGAACUGCGUGUGAUACUGGAUGGCUUGAAUUCGGGAGAGGGAUGCAGAAUUCCAGGUGUAGCGGUGAAAUGCGUAGAUACUGGGAGGAACACCAGUGGCGAAGGCGGCUACCUGGACCGGUUCUGACGCUGAGGCGCGAAAGCGUGGGUAGCAAACAGG
rnacentral:rRNA from 1 species